GACGAACGCUGGCGGCGUGCUUAACACAUGCAAGUCGAACGGAAAGGCCCUGCUUUUGUGGGGUGCUCGAGUGGCGAACGGGUGAGUAACACGUGAGUAACCUGCCCUUGACUUUGGGAUAACUUCAGGAAACUGGGGCUAAUACCGGAUAGGAGCUCCUGCUGCAUGGUGGGGGUUGGAAAGUUUCGGCGGUUGGGGAUGGACUCGCGGCUUAUCAGCUUGUUGGUGGGGUAGUGGCUUACCAAGGCUUUGACGGGUAGCCGGCCUGAGAGGGUGACCGGCCACAUUGGGACUGAGAUACGACCCAGACUCCUACUGGAGGCAGCAGUGAAGAAUAUUACACAAUGGGCGGAAGCCUGAUGCAGCAACGCCGCGUGCGGGAUGACGGCCUUCGGGUUGUAAACCGCUUUCGCCUGUGACGAAGCGUGAGUGACGGUAAUGGGUAAAGAGGCACCGGCUAACUACGUG
rnacentral:rRNA from 1 species